UACGGAGGGUGCGAGCGUUGUCCGGAAUCAUUGGGCGUAAAGGGCGCGUAGGUGGCCCGGUCAGUCCGUGGUGAAAGUCCAGGGCUCAACCCUGGAAAGCCGGUGGAAACUGUCAAGCUUGAGUCCGGAAGAGGCGAGUGGAAUUCCUGGUGUAGCGGUGAAAUGCGCAGAUAUCAGGAGGAACACCAAUGGCGAAGGCAGCUCGCUGGGACGGUACUGACGCUGAGACGCGAAAGCGUGGGGAGCAAACAGG
rnacentral:rRNA from 1 species